rnacentral:rRNA from 1 species
AAUGAACGCUGGCGGCAGGCCUAACACAUGCAAGUCGAACGGAUCCUUCGGGAUUAGUGGCGGACGGGUGAGUAACGCGUGGGAACGUACCCCUUUCUUCGGAAUAGCCUCGGGAAACUGGGAGUAAUACCGGAUAAGCCCUAUUGGGGAAAGAUUUAUCGGGAAGGGAUCGGCCCGCGUUGGAUUAGGUAGUUGGUGGGGUAAUGGCCUACCAAGCCGACGAUCCAUAGCUGGUUUGAGAGGAUGAUCAGCCACACUGGGACUGAGACACGGCCCAGACUCCUACGGGAGGCAGCAGUGGGGAAUCUUAGACAAUGGGGGAAACCCUGAUCUAGCCAUGCCGCGUGAUCGAUGAAGGCCUUAGGGUUGUAAAGAUCUUUCAGUGGGGAAGAUAAUGACGGUACCCACAGAAGAAGCCCCGGCUAACUCCGUGCCAGCAGCCG